GCACUCACUUGGGCAGCACAGAUACAAAAAUUAGAAUAAUACAGAGAUUUUAGCAUGGCCCCUGCACAAGGAUGACACAUAUUCGCGAAGCAUUCCAUAUUCUC
ensembl:snRNA U6 U6 spliceosomal RNA